rnacentral:lncRNA from 1 species
AAUUAAUCAAUACGAAACUCUGUCUCAUUUGUAUUUUGUCAUAUUAAUCAAUAUCAUGAAUUGCAUCUAUGGAACUCCCCUUUUGUUUCUUUAACUUUGUAAUGUGUGGUCACAUCAAAUGAACUUGCAUCUCCUCUCAAUUUUCUGAUAUGGUAUCGGAGUUCUCUGAUGGAGAGAGCAAUGAUGCCCCUGCCACAGAAGAUGAGAAAGAGAUGAAAGACAUUCAAGAGAAACAGAUCAAACAACACAAAUUAUUGAAUGGCUUAUCGAAGGCAAGUUUGAAGAGUACAUUUUCCACAUUUUGUAAAUUAUUGAAUUAACUUUAAGAUUAUUCAUUUGAGGCUUAUUUCUUUGCAGAAGCUCGAGAAUCUAACAGUUUUGAAUUUUGACUAUUGUGUGCUUCUGGUUGCGCCCCCACUCUCACCCCUUCCAUGUGUAAUUUCCUCUAUUCUCGUAUCCGACCUAUAUUACCUUUAGCACCAAAACUCAAAAAUAU